AUGCUCAAAAUUCUUCAAGCCAGACUUCAGCAAUACGUGAACCGUGAACUCCCUGAUGUUCAAGCUGGUUUUAGAAAAGGCAGAGGAACCAGAGAUCAAAUUGCCAACAUCCGCUGGAUCAUCAAAAAAGCAAGAGAAUUCCAGAAAAACAUCUAUUACUGCUUUAUUGACUAUGCCAAAGCCUUUGACUGUGUGGAUCACAAUCAACUGUGGAAAAUUCUGAAAGAGAUGGGAAUACCAGACCACCUGACCUGCCUCUUGAGAAACCUGUAUGCAGGUCAGGAAGCAAUAGUUAGAACUGGAAAUGGAACAACAGACUGGUUCCAAAUAGGAAAAGGAGUACGUCAAGGCUGUAUAUUGUCACCCUGCUUAUUUAACUUCUAUGCAGAGUACAUCAUGAGAAACGCUGGACUGGAAGAAACACAAGCUGGAAUCAAGACUGCCGGGAGAAAUAUCAAUAACCUCAGAUAUGCAGAUGACACCACCCUUAUGGCAGAAAGUGAAGAGGAGCUAAAAAGCCUCUUUAUGAAAGUGAAAGAGGAGAGCGAAAAUGUUGGCUUGAAGCUCAACAUUCAGAAAACGAAGAUCAUGGCAUCUGGUCCCAUCACUUCGUGGGAAAUAGAUGGGGAAACAGUGGAAACAGUGUCAGACUUUAUUUUUGGGGGCUCCAAAAUCACUGCAGAUGGUGAUUGCAGCCAUGAAAUUAAAAGACGCUUACUCCUUGGAAGAAAAGUUAUGACCAACCUAGGUAGUAUAUUCAAAAGCAGAGACACUACUUUGCCGACUAAGGUCCAUCUAGUCAAGGCUAUGGUUUUUCCUGUGGUCAUGUAUGGAUGUGAGAGUUGGACUGUGAAGAAGGCUGAGUGCCAAAGAAUUGAUGCUUCUGAACUGUGGUGUUGGAGAAGACUCUUGAGAGUCCCUUGGACUGCAAGGAGAUCCAACCAGUCCAUUCUGAAGGAGAUCAACCCUGGGAUUUCUUUGGAAGGAAUGAUGCUAAAGCUGAAGCUCCAAUACUUUGGACACCUCAUGUGA
rnacentral:lncRNA from 1 species